rnacentral:rRNA from 1 species
AUUGAACGCUGGCGGCAGGCUUAACACAUGCAAGUCGAGCGAGCGGCGGACGGGUGAGUAAUGUCUGGGAAACUGCCUGAUGGAGGGGGAUAACUACUGGAAACGGUAGCUAAUACCGCAUACCAUCAGAUGUGCCCAGAUGGGAUGAGCUAGUAGGUGGGGGAAUGGCUCACCUAGGCGACGAUCCCUAGCUGGUCUGAGAGGCUGACCAGCCACACGGGAACUGAGACACGGUCCAGACUCCUACGGGCGGCAGCAGUGGGGAAUAGUGCACAAUGGGCGCAAGCCUGAUGCAGCCAUGCAGCGUGUAUGAAGAAGGCCUGCGGGUUGUAAAGCACUGUCAGCGAGGAGGCGUUACUCGCAGAAGAAGCACCGGCUAACUCCGUGCCAGGAGCCGCGGUAAUUC